AGGAGCAUAGCCAAGCGGUAAGGCAAUGGGCUUUGAUCCCAUGAUCUCAGGUUCGAAUCCUGGUGCUCCUU
rnacentral:tRNA from 2 species